AGCGCACCCCUAUCCUUAUUUGCCAGCGCAUAAUGGCGGGAACUAUCAGGAGACUGCCGGUCAUAAACCGGAGGAAGGCGGGGACGACGUCAAGUCAUCAUGGCCCUUAUGGGUAGGGCUACACACGUGGUACAAUGGGUGGUACAGAGGGUCGCCAAAGCGCGAGCUGGAGCCAAACCCUUAAAACCAUUCUUAGUCCGGAUUGGAGUCUGCAACUCGACUCCAUGAAGUCGGAAUCGCUAGUAAUCGCGAAUCAGAAUGUCGCGGUGAAUACGUUCUCGGGCCUUGUACACACCGCCCGUCACGUCAUGGAAGUGGGUUGCACCAGAAGUGGCUUGUUUAACCUUCGGGAAAACGGUCACCACGGUGUGAUUCACGACUGGGACGAAGUCGUAACAAGGUAGCCCUAGGGGAACCUGGGGCUGGAUCA
rnacentral:rRNA from 1 species